UACGUAGGUGGCAAGCGUUGUUCGGAAUUAUUGGGCGUAAAGGGCGCGUAGGCGGUUUGUUAAGUCGGUCGUGAAAGCCCGGGGCUCAACCCCGGAAUAGCCUUUGAGACUGCAUCGCUAGAAUUGUGGAGAGGUAAGUGGAAUUCCGAGUGUAGAGGUGAAAUUCGUAGAUAUUCGGAAGAACACCAGUGGCGAAGGCGACUUACUGGACACAUAUUGACGCUGAGGUGCGAAAGCGUGGGGAGCAAACAGG
rnacentral:rRNA from 1 species